GUAGUCCACGCCGUAAACGAUGAAUACUAGGUGUCGGGGGUCGAACCUCGGUGCCGCAGUUAACACAAUAAGUAUUCCGCCUGGGGAGUACGAUCGCAAGAUUAAAACUCAAAGGAAUUGACGGGGGCCCGCACAAGCAGCGGAGCAUGUGGUUUAAUUCGAAGCAACGCGAAGAACCUUACCUAGACUUGACAUCCCCUGCAUAACCCAGAGAUGGGCGAAGUCCUUCGGGACAGGGUGACAGGUGGUGCAUGGUUGUCGUCAGCUCGUGUCGUGAGAUGUUGGGUUAAGUCCCGCAACGAGCGCAACCCUUAUCAUUAGUUGCUACCAUUAAGUUGAGCACUCUAGUGAGACUGCCCGGGUUAACCGGGA
rnacentral:rRNA from 1 species